AUACUUUUAAUAUCACAAACAUGCACAAAGGAUGGAACUUGACAAUGUUCUAUCUGUUACAAUGACACCUCAAAUUAAAAAGAAACCAACAAACCCAGACUCCAUUGAUAUAUAUAUGUCUUCAGAACACAACAAAAGGAAAACAUGACAACUUGUUUAUUACCAGACAAGAAGCUUAAGUGCCAUCAUGAUAUUAAAAAAACAUAUUCAAAAGGGCUUUCUUCAGCCAUAGCACCUAAUGGGGUCAGUGCAACCUUUUUCAGCAGACUGUUUAUCCCCUAAACCUCCACCUUUUUCCAAAUAUUGCUGAUGGUACUCUUCCGCCUUAUAAAAACGUUUCGCCGGAAGAAUCUCAGUUACAAUUUUCUUAUCUUUUAACUCUAAUUGCUUAGCUUCCAUUGACUCUCUUGCAAGACGAGCUUGGUUUUCGUUAUAGUAGUAUAUCCCUGAUCUAUAUUGUGCUCCCACAUCUCCACCCUGAAAAAAAUUAUAAAAAAAAGUACUCACUGAUUGAGGUAAAAAGACGAACACUUAGUGUGAAUUUUAAGCAAAGUCGAGAUACCUGACGAUUGAGAGUGGUGGGAUCAUGGCGGGACCAGAAAAGAGAGAGGAGAUUAACGUAAGGGCAGAUUUGAGGGUCGAAUUGGACCCGAACCACCUCGACGUGGUUUGUUGAACCGGUGCAUACCAGUUUGUAAUUCGGGUCAUGAACAUGACCUUGGGAGUAGCCAACCGUUGUUUUGAUUACACCUUCAACUCGUUGAAACGCUAAUUCUACUCCCCAGAAACAACCGGCUCCAAACUGGGCUAAUUCGUGAGAUGGGUUAAUUGGGCAGUCCUCGUCGGCGUCGAAAGCCGGGUUGUUGGUGUCGACGGUAGUGGCCAUUUUUUAGUUUUGAAGCUAUUUUUCUGCAGAUAUAGCAAGCAAAGUAACGUUCAUUUUGUAUUUAUAAAGGGAGUUUUUUUGUUUGACUUUUCUGAUGAUGAACCUAUCACGUUUUUCCAGCCAAAUUCAAGGCCGCUAAACCUGAAACGAUUUCUGGGGGAAAAAGAAAACCUUAAAAUGAAAAUCUAUAAUUAAAUAAUUGUGAAUAAUAAAAGCUUAACGCAAUUAUUUUCUGUCUUGCUAUGAAUCUCUGACGUUGAUUGUGGAUAUUUAGUUUUACAUUUAUGCUAAGUUUAUGUUUUGCAUUAAAUUAUUCUUAACAAUUUCAUUUAAAUUAUUGGACUAUUAAAAUUAUUGUUGCAUUUUUUUCUCUCUUUGCAUCCUUUGUACCAAUCAAAAGGUCUUCUCCCCUCUCUUCUAACAGUUUAACUUUUAAUGUCAUAAAUCUGCAAAUUAAAAUCCAAAUAGCUUUAUUCUUCGAUAUUUGACAUUGACCAUUAGAUCGACCUGGACCUAAAGUAUGUUUUUCUACUUGUUGAUUGGUAUUGAUCCACUGCACCAAUCGUUGAAUCGUCACUUGGAACUUGUUAGCUAGACUUAAAAAAAAAAACUCAACAGCCUAUUGAGUUAAAUAAAAACUUUCGAAAAAUUUAAGAACUAUUUUGUAAUUUUUUAAAGUUAAGUGAUUAAAACAUAAAUUUAUUAAUAGUUUACUGACAUUGGGUGUAGUUUGUCCUUAUUUUUUGUUAGAUAAAGGUUGUAUUAAAAUAUAAAUAAAUAUUUUAUAUUUCUUAUGUAUUUUAUAUAAUUUUAGAUUUUUUAAAAUAUAUUUUUAAUAUUGUUAUUUUGAAGUUUCGUAUGUUUUUUAGAAUCAAUACUUAAUUGACAAAUGUGUAAAUGUUGAUGAUUAAAUAUGUUGAAUUUAUUAGAAUUAUGAUCAAAUUGAUAAAAUGUGAAGAGUUAAAUUUAUUAUUGUACCAAUAAAAAAAUGAAAUCAAUCUUUUGUUAACAAUUGAAUAUCACAAACCAAAAAAUCAAAUUUAAAAAACUUUAGUGAUUAAACAUUUUUUUACUUAUCUAGAAAAUUAAAAAAAAAAUUAAAAUUGAGUGAUAAAAAUAAAAUAUUUUCGUAAAUAGAUAACUAUUCAUGUAGUCUACCUAAUUCAUCAAUAUAUAUAAGAGGAUUUCAAUUAUAUUAGUCUUAAAUUAUAUUUAAUUUAUAUACUUUCAAAACUCCUCAUAUAAUUAAAAUUUCAGGAACUCGAUAAUUAGAAUUUAUUAAUAUAAUUAUAUUUAUUAUACUUAUAAAAUUUCAAAUUAAUUUGAUAUUUUUAUUAUAAUAGUUCAACAUCUUAUCAAUUUUAAAUUUUAAAUUACGAAUACAAUUAUAUUUAUAAAUUUAAUGAUAAAAUAUUAAUGGUAGGAAAAAAAUGUGUAAAUUAAUUAUAGGUUUACACUAACGUGAAUGGAUAUAAUAUGUAUGGUCUAUGGAUACGAGGUGAGUAGCAACAUAGUCCAUAUUGGCAACCUAAGUCAACACUACUAAAUUUGUAAAGGUAUUUUUGAAGGUUUUUGUAUUAAGUGAUACAUUGUAUUUUAUUUCUGUAUUGAGAGUUAUAUUACAUUUUGCUCAUUUUACUAAAAAAUGAAUAAAUUAGUCCCUAUAUGUUGAUAAAAAAAAAGAAGCAAAUUGAUCUUUUCUAUUAAAUAUUUUAUCCAUUUAUAUUGUUAAAAAUUGAUGUAGUUGAUAGAAUAAUUAGAUAGCAGCGUGCCACGUAUAACUCAGGCUGACAUAUAAAGACCUACAAAGACUAAUUUUAAACAGUAAAAAUUGGGGGGAUUAAUAGAAGUACCAACUUGCUCUUUGAUCAAAUGUAUAGAGACUAAUUUACUAAUUUUUUAAGUAGAAGAAUCAAAAUACAAUUCAAAUCCUAAUACACAGACAUUCCUAAUACUUUUAUCACGUUAGUUAGAGGUUAUAUAUGAUAACAACAUAAACAAAUAACAUCACUAUACGUUUGUCUUGAAAUUUUUAUUUUCCAGAAUUAUAUUUAAAAUAAAAUAUAAUUAUUAAUAUUUAAAAUAAAAUAUAAUUAUUAAAUAUAAUUAUUUAACUUAUUAAUAUUUUAAAAUUUAUUUAAUUGAAAUAUAUUUACUUAAUAUAUUUCAUAAAAUAUAGAAAUUUGACAAUAAAUAUAUAAGUACAAAAAAAUAUUUUAAAAAUAUUAAUAAAUUCAAAAUGAUACACCAAAACACAUUAAUAUCUAUUGAUACAGAGUUUCAAUGAGAGUGGAGAAAGGGUCGUAUAGAAGAAGGCCGAUUCACCCACAACGAGUUGAAAAAAUUGAGAAUGGAGAGGACUUAGCCCCUUAGGAUUUGUUGGGAGAGAAGGAGAGUCUCCCUUUAUGUUGUGUUUUGGGAUAUUUAUAGGUAACUCAUGGUUCCCGAAUAGUCUCCUCUUAAAGAGAUCGCACCCGUUAAUAGUGAGUGGCCUAACAAAGAGUCCAAUCAAAUGGUUAAGGAAAGACGAUCCCUUACCAAAUUUAGCAAAAUUUCAAAAGAAAAGCUCACCAAAUUUGCUUGUAUGACUUACGGAAAUUGUGAAUGAACCAAGGAAAUUUUCUUUUCUUUCUCAAAGUAUAAAUGGUGGAGAAAAAAAAUAAAAAGCUCAAUCUUUGUUUUUCUCACUCACUAACCAUACUUUACCAGAUUAAAUAUUUAUUAAAUUAAAUUUAUAGGGUGUGCCUCGUAUUUUUGGAGAAACAGAUGAUGCCAUCGCAAUGAGGAGGAUCACGACGUUGCGACAAUGCAACUCGGGACAUCACGACGUGUUCUCUCAUUUGGCAGACGCAUUUUAAACUUCAAGCAAGACUUCUUCUCCUAGUUAGACUUUGAUUAUUCCAGAGAUAUUUCAGUAUGAUUAGAACUCUAAUCUUAGCCUAUUUAAAGGGGUCAUUGUAUUCUUAUUUUGUGAGGCGAAUCAGAAAAGGACUUUUCUUUGAGGGCAACAAAAUGUAAUCACAUUUGAAGUUUUAAUGGUAACUAUGGAGAGAAAUUUGUUUCCAAGUUAGAGUUUUGUUUUUGAGGUUUUGGGUAAUGUACGUUUAGUACAUUUAUGUAAUACCCCUAUCAACAAGUUCUUGCAACUGUGUCUUUAACUCUUUUAAUUCCGUAGGAGCCAUACGAUACGGAGCUAUGGAGAUUGGAGUAGUUCCCAGAAUCAGAUCUAUAGAAAAUUCCACUUCUCUUUCUGGUGGCAACCCUGGUAAUUCCUCUGGAAACACAUCAGAAAAUUCACAUACAACUGGCACUGCCUGUAUCUUUGACUCGGAUACCUUAGUGUCUAACACAUAUGCCAAAUAAGCAUCAUACCCUUUUCUGAUACACCUUUGAGCUAUCAUCACUGAAAUCACAUUAGAUAAUUCCUCUGUCUGAUCAGAUUUAAUCCGAAUCAAUUCUCCAUUCGGACACUUCAGAACAAUAUAUUUCUGUUUACAGUUUACUACUGCAUCAUGCUGAGUUAGCCAAUCCAUACCCAAUAUCACAUCGAACUCAUCAAAAGGAAGUAACAUCAAGUCAGCCGAAAAACAAAUACAUUUUACCAUCAGUGGACAAUUUUUACAAACUUUAUCCACCAUCACAAACUGACCUAGGGGGUUCGAGACUUUAACCACAAAUUCAGUAGGUUCAACAGGUAAAUUUUUAACAAGUGCAAGUUUAACACAUAUAUAUGAAUGCGUAGAACCAGGAUCAAUCAAUGCAGUAACAUCAGUAUCAAGUAAAGAAAAUGUACCAGUAAUAACAUCGGGUGCUGAAGUAUCUUCUCUAGCACGGAUGGCAUAUGUCCUAGCAGGUGCUCGUGCCUCAGGCCUGUCUGCAGUAUCUUUCGUAAUUCCUCAACUACCACUGACAUUACUAGAUGGUCGAGAUAGUCUACCCCUCAAAACUGGAUUACUCGGCCUUGAUGUCUAUUCAGCUUCUUUUUCACCCCUUUCUGGACAAUCUCUGAGGAAAUGGUCGAAAGAACCACAUCGGUAACAGGCCCCGCUCUUUAAUCGGCAUUCACCAAAAUGAAGUUUAUUACAGUACUGACAUCUCGGCUUAGGGGUGCCAACACUGCCAACACUGGUUACUGAUGGAGUGGAAGGUCUUGGAUUAGUGCGUUGAAAACCUCGCUCUCUACCCGAAUGCCCAGUUGCUGAGGUAAAACGAUCCUGGUAUUUCUUCAAUUUCUUUGAAGCAGAAAACUGGGAUUUUUCCAUCGAUCUUCUACUGAAAACCCGAGCUUCUCUUUCAGCUUGUUUCUUUUCUUUGCUCAGUUCCUCUGCUUUAUAAGCUCGCUCUGUAAGGGUAGCAAACUCUCGGAUUUCAAGAAUUCCAACCAGUAGCUUAAUCUCUUCAUUCAACCCUUCUUCAAAUCGUUUGCAUAUUUCAGCCUCUGAUUAUACCCAUUCCCGAGCAUAUUUACUCAAUCGGACAAAUUCUCUUUCAUACUCAGAUACCGAUCUGUUGCCCUGUUUCAGCUUAAGAAAUUCUUUUCUUUUCUGAUCAAGGAACCUAUGGUUGAUAUAUUUAUUUUUAAAUUCAUUCUGAAAGAAAUCCCAAGUAAUUUCUUCUUUCAGAACCACCGAAGCUUUAGUGUUCCACCAAUGAUAAGCUGUGUCUUUUAGCAGUGAGACGGCACAUUUCAGACAUUCCUCUGUGUGCAAGAUAAUUCCUCCAAAACCCGAAUAGUAUUCUCUAACCAAAACUCGACCCGUUCGGGAUCAUCAUCAACUACAGCUCUGAAUUCUUCUGCCCCAUAUUUUCUGAUUUUAUCAACUGGAGCUUUCCCUUUUAUGAUAGAUUCAGUACCUGUACCCUGUGGAAUCUCGGGAACCAGUGGAGGAAGAGGAGGAGGAGCUUGAGCUUGCUGCACUACAGGGUUAGUUCUUAUAUACUAUGCAAACCAUUCAUUCAUCAUUUGAUAAAAGCCCAUUUUAGCCUCUUCACUUUGGUCCAUUGUCUCGGACCUUCAACUAGUAGUAGCUUCAACUUCUCUUUGUUCUGAAGCCGGAGUAUGACUCCCGGCUUCCUCGGGUUGAGCUCGGUCGGUAGACAUUUACUACAAGAAAAUCACAUUUCAAAUGGUCAGGAAAUAUCACACUAUCAAUAAUAAUUUAAAUGGCAUGUAUAGCUAAUCUCAUAUUUGCUAGUCGGUCCGAGAACUGGCUAAACCGUAGCUCUGAUACCAACAAAUGCAAUACCCCUACCCGUAGUCGUCGCCGGAAUAGGAUACGAGGUAUUACCAGAUUUUACUGAAAUUUUUUUUUAAACCGAGACCAAUCCAACACAACCAAUUCAUUCCAGAAUAUUUUUAAGAUAGAUUUACCGUAUUCAUAAGAUAAUCUUAUCACAUACCAAAACCAAAAUUUGUUAGCCAUACCAAUGGCUAACCAUACAUUCAUUUCACAUUAACAUCUACUUUACUAGCUUAUACAUGCCAUUGAUUUCCAAAAUAAGUUUCUUUAUAUACCGAGAUCUUGAGGCUGAUAGUGUGAUGCGUCUCUGACCAAAUCCAACCUCCGAGCUCUUAACUCUAUAAACAGGGGAAAAAGAAACAGGGUAAGCACUUUGUGCUUAGUAAGCUCAUGUAACAAGAAUUAUACUUACCUACUAUUUUCAAUACAAUGCAAUAAACAUUCAUACAUCCAUUCAAUACAUUAUUCCCCUAUCAUGCACAAACUCAACAUUCAAAUUAGUCCAAUAAUUUCCAUGUAUUAAUGAUAUUUAUCAUGAUUGAUGAGCUCAUCAAUUCCAUGAUUUUCCAUUCCCUUGUUAUUUUUCCAUAUUUAUCCCGUUGAACUACUUGGAAUUUCGAUGGAUUUUCAGGGGUACACCUAAGUGUACAAAUCCGGGUCCGUCAAUUCAUAUUCGUGUGCGCACAUUUCCAUUUCAGAGAGCACACUCCCGCGAACUUCAUCCUUACAGCGAGAUUACCAGUCCAAGCUAAAUCCCCUGUAAUAUAAACUCAUAGAUUAUUGUCGGGAUUACCAGUCCAGGCUAAAUCCCCUGCAACGACAAUUACUCUAAUGAGCUUGGAUCUGAAUUACCAGUCCAGGCUAAAUUCAGACCUUAAUUUGGAUUACCCGUUCAGGCUAAAUCCAUUUUCCAUAUAUUCUUCGGGAGGGCUAUAUCAGGAUAGGAUCACCCGUCCUGGCUAGAUCCUUUUUACCGUCAAUUCCUUUUCAGAGAUCCAUCAAAUUUUCCUUUCAUUCAACUGGGAUUUAUUUCCUCUUUUCAUCAAGAAUAUCGAUACUUCAUCAAUUAUCAUACAAUAAACAUCCAAAUCAUAUUCACAUCAAUAACAAACAUUUCAAGCAUUUAGGAAUAUAAUUCAAGUUACACGAACUUACCUCGACAAUUGUUCGUAAAUAAAAAUCUACUAAUCCCGAACUUUUUCUUUUCCUCGAUCUUGCUUCGUAUUUGAAUUUUUUGGAUAUAAAUAAAUAAAUUUAAUCAUUAAACUAAUACAUUUCAUGUUCAUAUGUAACUUUCUCUAUAAUUCCAUUAUUAUUUAUAGUGCAUUCAAAGCUGUCUCACUGAGUCAUAGUCACUAAAUUAUUUAUAUAUUGAGCUACAGAACUCCAAAUUAAGAUCCGUUAAUUUUUCCUGAAACUAGACUCACAUAUCUUCUUACCAUAAAAAUUUCAGAAUUUUUGGUUUAGCCAAUAAGUACAGUUUAUUCUUUAAAAUUUCCCCUGUUUCACUGUAUGAUAAUUCUGACCCCUCUUCACUAAAAAUUAAUUAUCUCAUUGUACAGAAUUAGGAUGAUGCUUCCUUUAUUUCUUCAGAAAAUAGACUCAUUAAGGAUUCUAAGCAUAUAAAUUAUAACUCAUAAUCAUUUUUUUACAAUUUUUAAUGAUUUUCUAAAGUCAAAACAGGGGAACUCGAAUUCAUUCUGACCAUGUCUCACAAAAUCUAUUAUAUCUCAUGAUUUACAAUUCCAUUGCUUACACUGUUUCUUUUAUAAGAAACUAGACUCGAUAAGAUUUAAUUUCAUAUUUUAUUCAUCCUCUAUCUCGAUUUAUACAAUUUUUGGUGAUUUUUCAAAGUUAGACUACUGCUGCUGUCUAAACUGUUUUAGUGCAUGGUGUUAAUUACCAUUUUUCCCUAAGCUUUCAACAAUGAUAAUUUCGUCCCUGCUCAAUUAACCUCUCAAUUGAGCUGAUUUUUCUCAAUCAACACUUUAUUAUAUCACUUUAAACUACCUUAUAACCUUUGGAAAUAAUAAUUUUAGCACUAAGCUUUAAUUCCAAACUUUUUCACAAUUAGGUCCUACAAAUCAAUUUCUAUUGGAAUUACCUAAUAAAAUCAUCUCAUAAACAAAUUAAAGCUUCAAUUUCAUCCUAUUUCCUCAUAAAAUUCCAGCACAUAUUCAUAUCAACUUUCAAUAUCAUUCAUAAAAUCAAAAACUAAUGAAUUUAGUAAUAGGACCUAGUUGUAAAAGUCUUAGAAACACAAAAAUUACAAGAAAAAGGCAAGGAUUAACUCACUUGGUGCAAAAAUUAUAAAAAACCAGCUUGAAUAAACCCUUAUGACGUUUUUGGCUGAUGAGAAUGCAGAAAAAUAAAGAGCAAUCUAGAUAAUUCCACUUUAGUCCUAACUUUUAAAGCAAAUUUUGUAAUAUUCCAAUUUUACCAUUAUUUCUUCAAUUCUCCUGAUCUUUCUCAGCUUAUGCCGCCCAAAAUAUCUCAUUUUGGGGUUAUUUACAAUUUAUGUCCCUCCUCAUUUCACAAUUGAGCUAUUUAAUCCUUCUAAUAACUUUUACACCUUUUUCAAUUUAGUCAUUUUCACUUAAUUGACUACCCAAACAUUAAAAUUUUCUAACGAAAUUUUAAUACCAUAUUACUAACACUUCAUAAAUAUUGAUAAAAAUAUUUUUGACUCGGUUUUACGAGAUCGAAGUCUCGAUAUCUUAUUUUUACUUAAUUUCUUCAAUAAUUUCUUUUUCUAACUAACCACUAAAUCGGUAAAAUUUUUCUAUCGAUAUUUUCAUACGAUUUUUCCUAUCAUAUCAAUAUUCAUGCAAAAACAUUAAAAUAAAUUUCUCUUUAAAUCAGAUUUGUGGUUACGAAACCACUAUUCCGAUAACAUUGAAUUUGGGCCAUUACAAUUUAGGUUUAUUUUCUCCAUAUUAUACUAUCGUUUUGUUUACUCAUUUAAUAAUAAUUCGAUGCCUCCUUUUCCCGUAGUUUUUCCCUCUUUUAGGGUUUUCCAUGUAAAAUAUUUGUGUUCGCUCUUCUCUAUAUUUUCUAUUUCGUUGUUUAUACAGGUCAAUUCUCAACAAAUUGGUAUUAGAGCUACGGUUCAGCUUCCGCAGAUUGACUGGUUUGGUGGCACAACAAUGUUUUUGGAUAUCGAGAAGUUCAACGAACCAAAAAUUUCAAUUUUUAAUAGUUUCGGAUAAUUAUGGAGGUAGAUAAUGUGGCUGAAGACAAGGGUGAUGAUUUGUUGUUCUCCACAUAAUCUGUUUGAAGGUGGAGUCGUGUCAAAUGUUAGGCAUGUGUCUAAUUUAGAGAAGAAUCUCAUCCCUUUUUUAUCUUUAAGGACUUAAAUAGUUCGUAGAGUAUUUGAGGCAAGGUUGGUCCCAGAGGGUUAUAGUCAAGGUGGAGAGAGUUAAUGCUUUCUCUCUUGUUUGGGUAUUAUUGGUCAUUGUUGCAUUAUACAACUUCGAUUUAAAGACUAGAAGUGUUUCCAAGUUCGAGCACAGUUUAGACUUGGUUGACAUUUUGCAAAAUUCAAGUUUGGCCCGUGACGGGGCAUGGAAAAUGAGGCAUGAUAAAUACGAGUCAAUGUAGAGAUUUGUAGGGUGUGCCUUAUAUUUUCGGAUAAAUAGAUGAAGACGUCACAAUGAGGAGGAUCACGACGUCGUGACAACGCGACUUGAGAUGUCACAAUGAGGCGAAAAUGACAUCACGACGUGUUUUCCUAUUUGGCAGCCGCAUUUUAGACUUCAAGUAGAACUUCUUCUCCCAGUUAGACCCUAAUUAUUCUAGGGAUAUUUUAGUAUGAUUAGAACUGUAAUCUUAGUCUAUUUAAAUGGGUCAUUGUAUCCUUGUUUUGUAAGGCCAAUUAGAAAAAUUGUUUUUCUUUGAAGGCGACAAGAUGUAGUCGCGUAUAAAGUUUUGGUGAGAGUUUUAGUGGUAACUAUGGAGAGAAUUUUGUUCUUGCGUUAAUGUUUUAUUUUCAGGAUUUUGGGUAAUGUACGUUUAGUACAUUUAGGUUUAUUUUUUCCAUGUUGUACUAUCGUUUUGUUUACUCAUUAAUGAUAAGUCGAUGCCUCCUUUACCAAUGGUUUUUCCCUCUUUGAAGGUUUUCCAUGUAAAAAAUUUGUGUUCAUUCUUCUCCACCUUUUUUAUUUUGUUGUUUAUACUAUUUGAUCCCCAAUAAAAUCAAAUAUAUAAAUCUAAAAGCUAUGAUUCAUUCUUACAAAACCUAGUGGAAGUCACUAGAAGUCAUUAAACUCAUCCACUAUCAACAUUUAAUCUAUGGCUAAAUUAUAUUUACGACCAUGUCUAAUUGCUUAAUAAGGACUUGCUCAAAGUCUAAAUCAAAUCUCCUUAUAUCUCUCGUCUUGUAAUUUAGUCACUGUACUAUAUAUAAUAAUUUAAUCAAAUUAGUUCUACUUAAUAAUUUUCCCCCACAAUUCUAUAUUCAAAACGUAAUUAUUUGAUCCUAAUUUUUAGCGAACUCGAUUUAGUAAAUUUGACCUUAAAACCAAGUUUUUCGACAUCGUUGAAAAUUGAAUUGUUACAAAAGUGGUGGGUUGUCAACUAAGAACAAUGUUAGAGCCGAUGUGAGAGAUUUCAGGCCUAGGAAGGUGAUGGAUUAACAAGUACUGGCAGAUGCUCUUCCCUAUAUAUCUUUUGGGGAUUGUGUGGACCUAAUUUAUGUCAUAUGGUGUUAGGCUCUAAGACUAGGCUUCCGGUGAAAACAAAUUUUGCCAAAUUCUAUCUUCAGAAAUUGAGUGAUGUAGGUUGCAUGAUAUCAUGAGGGUCUGGCAUACUUAGGUAUAACAAUUGCCCCUUGAAUGAAAGGUAGGUUAAAGUGGCUUAGGUUGAGUUGAAUUUCUAAGCUUUAGAAGUUUUGAUGAAGCCUAAAGGACUUUUAAAGCAUCAUGAUUAAUGUUUCUAUCAUUGUUCCUAUGCAUUAAUUGUUCUUAGGCACCAUUCAUCUCUAAUUGGGGUUUUUGGAAAUAGCAUCAUUUCUUUGUCACAUUUGAUUCUUUAUGAAUCCAAAACCUUUAUUUUCUUCUUAUCUAUACUUGACCUUUUUUCUUCUUUUUAUUGUAUUUUGUCAAGAGAUUUCUUAUCUUUUCAUGCUUGAUUGUUUGGAAUUUCAAGUAAGAGAUGUCUAGUAGUGAGUGAAGAACAUUGUGUUCCACUAUUAAAGUAGCUAAAACCGUGAUGUCUUAAACAACCUCAUUGUAAAAAUAAGUUCUCAAUUCUGUUAGAAGCAUAUUGGGUAACUAAAGUUACAGCUAAUAAUAGAGGCUUCUAUCUCCCUUUACACUUGUUUGAAGUGGGUUUUCAUUUACUCCUCCAUAAUUGGUUUGUAGAGAUGCUAUGGUUAUCAAGAAAUUCUUAGCUUUUAUCAAUACUAUAUUUUUAGUUUGUCAAAGGUGUUGGAAACAACUUCUUCUGCCAACUUUAGUAACAUGUCCACCUUUAAUUUUGAAGGUUCUCCUGGUGUAGAUUAUUUCGUUCCAUGGGGUAAUCAUAACCUUGAGGUGAACAAAUUUUCAAAAAAUCUUACUUUUUAUCCCCCCACAAGUAUAUUCUUAUAGAAAAUAAGUUUGAAGAUUUCCUCUUUCAAUUAAAUUCAUCAUCCUUUCAUUUAUAAGGCUUUUGCCUCAUUUAUUUGAUGGAGGCUUUACCGAGGAUCAUAUUCAUAGUUUGAGAUAAAUUCAUCAUUUGAGAUAAAAGUUACUGAGAUUUAUCUAAGUAUGGUCCCAAAAUAACUUUUAAAGAUUUUACGUUGAAAUUCGUAAUCCAAAUAGUGUGACUUCAAAAGAAGUUAGUUUGUUUGACAAUAUGUUAGAACUUUGGCCUUUGUCACAUAACACAUGACCUUUGAAGAGUGAAAACCACUUGAAGAGGAAAGGGAACAUCUUUCUUUUGUUCGCCAAUAUGUAUGUUAUCACUUGAAUAUUGAACUUCCUUCUACAUUGCCUAAAGGAGGAGAGAGGAACGUAGAGACCUUUUGAUGUGGGUAUGCGCGAACAUAAUUCAUGUUUGUAGCAUCUAAUGUCCAAACUUCUUCCUUAUUUGUAGAGUGCAACCCCUAUUGAUGUUUCUCGUGCUUUAGUCUUAGUAGAGCCUUGUCUUGAAAUUAUUGUUCUAAGUGAGGCCCAAGAUAUUGGCAAUGUAUGAUAAAAUAUUAAGUUACACUUUAUAUUCAUCUUGAAUUACAUUUUUAUUGUAAUUUAAAUUAAGGUAAACUACUUAAUUCAUUAUUCCAAUUUUUCGGAUAUUUUCAUUUUAAUCAUCUAAAUAAAAAAUAUUUACAAAUUAGUCACUGUUGUUAGAAUCUUUUUCAUUUUAGUCACCUAAACGUUAAAUCCUUAACGGCAGUUGGCUAUGCAUGAUGCAUUAUCAUUUUUGAAUAUUUUUUACCCCCACUACUACUGCUCAUCAUCUUCUUCCCCUCCACACCACCCCUGCUUCCACCACAUUUCAGAAACUUUAAAAACCUGAAGUGAUAAGACCAAAACUAACUCACCGUGUUCGGAACUAAUGAGGAUGCCCAUUGUGCAGCCAUAGGCACCUGGAUUCAAAAUGAGGUGCUAGAUAUGAGUAUGUACAUAACUUAAAGUGAGUGUUUAUGUGAGUACAAGAAAAGUUCAUACCUAUUCGCAUGUUCGAAUUUGUCUAACAUAAGGAUGGACUUGGUGGUAUUGCAAUGGAAGCAUCGUAUCUAUCAAACUUUUCAUUCUAGCCACUGAUUUCCGCAUUGUUCACAAUUUCAAAAUUGGUUGCAUUGCAACACAAUCAAUGAUUCAAUUACAUUCACUUUCAAAUUUUACCUGUUGCCAAGUUAUAUAAAGAAACCAAUAAACCUAAGACUCCAUUGGUAUAUAUAUCUCUAUUGAGGGCAAGUAUCUGCUCACUCCCUCAAUAGAAGGUAUUGUCCCCAUGGGGAGUUGUCUCCCAUAUUUUGAGGAGAGCCAAAAAGGGUCCAUGGAGUUUAAGGAUGAACAUUUUGCAUAAUACUGACGCCUUUCCCGUGAGCUUGCAAAUCGUAUCUCUUCCAGUCGAGGCAAUUCCUAAACUCUCUUCAGAAAAUACAAAACCCCCCACAAAAACAAUACCCUCUGAUGUUGAGGGAGUGAGACGCUCCCUAGCAAAUACUUGCACUCAACAAUCUCCAUAACACAACAAAAGGCAACAUGAUAACUUGUCUAUCAACGGACAAGAAGCUAAGUGCUCUGUCAUAAUAAAAGCUGAAAAAAGAUGCAAACUUUUAAUAUCACAAACAUGCACAAAGGAUGGAACUUGACAAUGUUCUAUCUGUUACAAUGACACUUCAAAUUAAAAAGAACCCAACAAACCCAGACUCCAUUGAUAUAUAUAUGUCUUCAGAACACAACAAAAGGAAAACAUGAUAACUUGUUUAUUACCAGACAAGAAGCUUAAGUGCCAUCAUGAUAUUAAAAAAAACAUAUUCAAAAGGGCUUUCUUCAGCCAUAGCACCUAAUGG
rnacentral:lncRNA from 1 species